GUGUCAGCCGCCGCGGUAAUACAGAGGGUGCGAGCGUUGUCCGGAAUCACUGGGCGUAAAGGGCGCGUAGGCGGCCUGGUAAGUCGGGGGUGAAACGCUGCGGCUCAACCGCAGCACUGCCUUCGAGACUGUCAGGCUUGAGCACGGUAGAGGCUGGUGGAAUUCCCGGUGUAGCGGUGGAAUGCGUAGAGAUCGGGAAGAACAUCGGUGGCGAAGGCGGCCAGCUGGGCCGUUGCUGACGCUGAGGCGCGACAGCGUGGGGAGCAAACAGGAUUAGAAACCCCCGUAGUCC
rnacentral:rRNA from 1 species